rnacentral:rRNA from 1 species
CAGCAGCCGCGGGAAUACGGAGGGGGCUAGCGUUGUUCGGAAUUACUGGGCGUAAAGCGCACGUAGGCGGCUUGGUAAGUUAGAGGUGGAAGUCCGGAGCUCAACUCCGGAAUUGCCUUUAAGACUGCCGAGCUAGUAGGUGAGAGAGGUAAGUGGAAUUCCGAGUGUAGAGGUGAAAUUCGUAGAUAUUCGGAAGAACACCAGUGGCGAAGGCGGCUUACUGGCUCAUUCUAGACGCUGAGGUGCGAAAGCGUGGGGAGCAAACAGGAUUAGAUACCCCCGUAGUCCCUGUCUCUUAUAC